rfam:Chlorocebus sabaeus isolate 1994-021 chromosome 29, whole genome shotgun sequence.
CCUUCGAUAGCUCAGCUGGUAGAGCGGAGGACUGUAGAUUGUACAGACAUUGUGGACAUCCUUAGGUCGCUGGUUCGAUUCCGGCUCGAAGGA